rnacentral:rRNA from 1 species
AUGGCAAGAAACAAGCAAGUGUGGAGCUACCGAAUGACCCGCGAUCAUAUCAAGAUAGUGGACAUUACAGACAAGCGGUGGAAGUCCAGUGCCUUCAAAGUCCUUUCGAAGCUCCAUGGGACCAAUUCGGUAGCGGCAAACGAGGAGGAGGGGACGCUAACUGUGGUGGGGGACCUGGACCCGGUGGUCGUAGUGCUGGCAUUACAGAAGGCCAAACUCAAUGUGCAGAUCGUCAGAACGGGGUUGAUGAACAAACCCGAGGGACGCAAAAUGCCUGGACGUAACCCGCCCGAGGGACAACAGAAGCCUGAAUCUAACCCACCCCAGCUGCCGCACAGUCUCAUCACCCCGUACUCCCCUCCCUACCGGCCACCCCCCUACCGUCAACACCGCCACGAGGUCCACCAGUCCCGGGAGGACCCCAACUCAUGUGUCAUCCAGUGA